GAUGCACGCUAGCGGCAGGCUUAACACAUGCAAGUCGAGGGGCAGCGCGGGAUAGCAAUAUCCUGGCGGCGACCGGCGGAAGGGUGCGUAACGCGUGAGCGACAUGCCCGUUGCCCGGGGACAACCGGUGGAAACGCCGACUAAUCCCCGAUGGGAUAUUGUGCCGCAUGGCACGAUAUUGAAAGUUACGGCGGCGACGGAUUGGCUCGCGUCCGAUUAGCUUGUUGGCGGGGUAACGGCCCACCAAGGCUGCGAUCGGUAGGGGUUCUGAGAGGAAGGCCCCCCACAAUGGGACUGAGACACGGCCCAUACUCCUACGGGAGGCAGCAGUGAGGAAUAUUGGUCAAUGGGCGGAAGCCUGAACCAGCCAUGCCGCGUGCGGGAAGGAGGCCCUAUGGGCUGUGAACCGCUUUUGCCUGGGGGCAAUAAGGGCGUCGCGCACGUCCGAUGAGAGUACCAGGCGAAUAAGCAUCGGCUAACUCCGUG
rnacentral:rRNA from 1 species